GCUUUUGGAGGUCUCCCAUGCCCUAAUGUUUGCAGAACGGUUCUGCUGGGACUCAGCUUUGGUUGUGGUUUUGUCAUGGCAUCAGGCACGAUUUUCCUGAAGUUCUGACAGCUUGGGCUGCUGGACAGAUGGCUGCACAGAAAUAAUGCACAGCCCAGAGUGCUGGCUGGGAUGGAGCUGAAUGCAGGACUGAGGUCAGUGGUACUGCUGAAGAAGAGAAUGGUUGAAAAGCCACCAGACUGUGGAGCUCAAGCAGGAGAAAUGCUGCUGUGCCAAGCUGGCUUGCAUCUGGGUGGCUUGAGACUUAUUCCUGCCACAGGGCCCCAGCUGCAGCCACAGCAGCUGCUCCCAGCCAAGGCAGCAGCUGUGCCACCCCCUGGGUCACCCCUGGUGGAAAACAAAACUCCUGGGAACACUGGUCAGUACAGAGAUGGGCUGGCCUCAGGUGGUCUGCAGGCUUCAUUGGGACCUUCACAGCCAGAAAGACUCAGCAGAGCAGACACGAUCGUUUGUGACUGAAUGCCAUGGAAUUGCACCUGAGCAGAGAGGCAGCAGAGUUGUGGCUGCUAACAGCUCUGUAGGAACACUCAGGCAAGCAGCAUCAGGCAUGGCUUGCUAACUGGAAGAAACAUCCAUAAUUCUGUCAUCAUUUGUCAUAUCCAUGCUAAUGUGAUGGUAAUUCUGUGAUGGACUUUUACCUGUCUUUACUAGCACAUCAGAAGACUUUGCACAGAAAAGCAAAAGGGAUGUUAAAAGCAAAAAGUGCUGCUUGGAGCCAUGUGCACUGAUAAUGAAGCAGACACAGAUUCCUCUGCAUGGCAGGCUGAGGAUUCCAGUGUCCCAAGGGAAGUGUGAGCAGCUGCACACUGCAGUCCUUGUGCUUUAACAAAACCUGAUUUGCUGGGUCACCCUCCUGGAGUGACACAAUACCAUUUAAAGUUGUUUGCUUAUUACAGAGAUACUAUCAAAAGGUGUGGUGCCCUGAUUGGAGUCUAGCGAGAAAGUAACACUCAUUCACCCUCCCACCCAGCCACCCACCUUUGCAGAUGGGCUGAGGGUCUCUCCUUUCUUUGCUUCAUGACUGGAAGUGCUUGAUUCACCCUCACCCAGCACUAAUUGUGUUGCUGCCUACUGGAAGUUCCCGUGUUGGCAUCAGAGCGUUGAGCCUAGAACUCACUGCUAGGGUUAAUUGCAAAGUAAGAGCUUUAUUUCUUGAUGUCUGUUUUAUAUUCAGUUACUUUGUACUCGGUAUCAUUUCCUUGUGAUUUUUUAAAUGAUCAUUAAAAUGUUCCUAAUUGCUG
rnacentral:lncRNA from 1 species